GAACAGAGGUGGGCGGGCCCAGCCACGCCCUGAUGGGUAGAUUAAUAGAAAUAUAUACGUUCAUAUACAUAUUCAUAAAUAAAUAUAUACAGAAAUGAGAAGAAAAAUGAAGAGAGAAUGAGAGCAGGGAUGAUACUGGAGGGGAGGGUGAGGAAUUAGGGGAAGCAAGGAGGGGGAUGUAAUACUGUAGAGAGAGGGAGAGAGAGACUUUGUGAGUGAGUGAGUGUGAAGUUGUGGGUGUAUCCUG
rnacentral:lncRNA from 1 species